UACGUAGGGUGCGAGCGUUAAUCGGAAUUACUGGGCGUAAAGCGUGCGCAGGCGGCUUUGCAAGACAGGUGUGAAAUCCCCGGGCUUAACCUGGGAACUGCACUUGUGUCUGCAUCGCUAGAGUACGGUAGAGGGGGAUGGAAUUCCGCGUGUAGCAGUGAAAUGCGUAGAUAUGCGGAGGAACACCAAUGGCGAAGGCAAUCCCCUGGACCUGUACUGUCGCUCAUGCACGAAAGCGUGGGGAGCAAACAGG
rnacentral:rRNA from 1 species